AUGAAACCGCGCCUCGGAGGAAAGUGGCGGCGCCAACCUUUCUUUGCGUCCCCGCCCUUCAACCCCCAUCAUGCCUCCUCCCUCCCCUCUUUACCACCCCUCCUCCCCUCACGCGACCACGCGCACGCUCGCGCGCCCGGGGAAGCCGCCUCAGUCGCUGCGUCUUUGCGCCGCCAUUCGGGGAAGGAGCAGCGCGCGCGCGCAGCAGGGGCCCCACGGACCCAGUCUAGGAGGCCGCCGCCGCCGCCGCCGCCGCCUCCGCCUCCGCCGCUGCUGCUCCGUGGCCUCCGGUCAGCGAGGAACGGAGGGUGUCGGUCCCACCUCCUUUGGUCCAGCUCUCUCCAGCACACCACGUGCCCGCCGCUUCCCCCCCCCUCCCCCAGCCCUGCACGAUUCAACUCCUAUCCUUCAUGUUUGCUUCUCUAUGCAGUGAAUGCCAGCUAUUCUGUGGCUUAGAUAAAAAGCCAUGUAAGAUAUCUGGUUUUUGAAAGCCAGUUUUGAGGCAUCUGGUUCUACUUCACACUUAGCAGACUGGCCAAUAUGACAGCAAAGGAAAAUAAUAAAUGUUGGAGGGAAUGCGGCA
rnacentral:lncRNA from 1 species